GGUUGUAAAAUUCUUUCACUGAUGAGGAUAAUGACUGUAAUCAGAGAAGAAGCCCCGGCUAACUUCGUGCCAGCAGCCGCGGUAAUACGAAGGGGGCGAGCGUUAUUCGGAAUGAUUGGGCGUAAAGAGUUCGUAGGCUGUAAUUGUGGUUAUUAGUAAAAUACUUAGUUUAUUGCUUAGAAAUGCUUAUAAAACUCUUUUACUUGAGUGUGGUAGAGGAUAACAGAAUUUCAUGCAUAGGAGUAAAAUCCAAUAAUUCAUGAAGGAAUGUCAGUGGCGAAGGCGGUCAUCUGGACCAUUACUGACGCUGAGGAACGAAAGCGUGGGGAGCAAACAGGAUUAGAUACCCUGGUAGUCCACGCUGUCAAAGAU
rnacentral:rRNA from 1 species